AACGACCUGAAACUUAUUUCAAGAGCACACCUUUUAUUAGAUUAAAAUACUAAUGCAGAUGUACCCUCCAACGCCAACCGUACCUGAACUUCAGUAAUUAGAAUUUAAUAGCAUUCUCCUGCUACCAGAGACUUAAGACAUCUCAGUUCACAAGCAAGAAAACACACACCAGCCUUCAAGGGAAAUGUUGUUCCUCCAAUGUGCUUUCCCCACAACCAUUGAACCUCUUUUCAGCUGACCAAAACUCACUAACCUCGUUCUUUUACCCAGCACUUACACACUGAACACUAGUUCUGGGAAUAUAUCAUCUCCAGGUGUGCCUCUAAGUCACCGACGUCACAAAACCUACUUCCUUAACGGCUGUGCUUUGAUCCAGUACCUGCCUUGUAACCCAUGUAGACAAUUCAGCUUCCUUGGACUUGCCUGCAGAUUUCUUGAAUUCGGUCUGUUAGAAAAGGUUUAGUGAAUAAAAAUUGAUUGUGCUGAGCAGCUUUUGUUUAAGACUGCACCCUUCAGCUUGCUAUGGCACUGCAGCAAGACAGAACAUAGAUAAAACCCAAGCAAUGUCUUAAGCACACAAAACUGCCACAUCCUGAGUUACACCAAGGCUGGGGGGAAACCUUUUUGUUUGUAAACUCUGUGCAACUUGAUAAACUAGACUGACAUACUUCUUCAAAGAACUUCUGCGACAUUCUCAUCGCCUUAUGCAAACGCGGAAAACUGAGGUUACAAAUCUACUUUGCUUUUCAAAACAGCAGACUAGCUUUAAGCACAUCCAUGUUCUGCAGUAUCAGCUGUGGCUUCAGCACGAACGCUGCAAGCUCCUCCAAAACAGACGAGGCGGCAAGAUAAAGUGGUGACUCGGCAGCCACGGACUGGCCCGACACCGGCAAGCACCUCCAGGUCGCCUUUUACGACCCCUUUAGAACCACAACUCUCCGACACAGCCUGUUCAUCAAGGCUGGAGCUGCCAGACACACGGGAGUCAGGAACCUCCCCAAGCCCUAGGGAUCUUCUGGCCCGCCAGCCAGCGCAGCAGCUGCUCUCACAAACAUGGCGAAGUUUGCAGCCGGUGGGAGCGGACCGAAGCUCGGCGAGCUUGGCCGCCGCCGGGCUGCCCCGAGAAGGGAGACUCUAGGGGAGAGCCGCGGGCAGCUGCCCCUAGGAGUAAGCGAGCCCUCGGCACGGGCCUGCUAGGGCCUCACCGAAGCCCACCAAACACCGUCACUGCCCCCCCAACGCCUGCCGCCCAGCUCCGCCAGGGCCGCGCUGCGGUAGGCCGCACUCGGCCUGGCUCCCGCACGGGCCCGCCGCCGCCGCCCCCCAGCUCCCCUCCGCCGCUGGAGCGGCGCUCCCCACCUGCGCCGCGGGCUCCGCGGGCCGGGCCGGGCCGAGCCGGGGGAGGGCAGGCAGCGCCGGGCCCAGGGGCAGCAGAGGCGAGAGCUCCAGGUGCAGCACAGCCACCGCUGCGCUGAACUCGGCUCCGCGGCUGCGCGGGGCGGCGGGGGCGGAGCCGCGGCGGGGCUGCUCCGCUCUGCUGCUGCUGCUCCGCUCUGCUGCUGGCGGCCGUGCGGGGGGCCGCUGUGUGAGGCCUUCUUGGCCCUCCCGGUGUGGGGCGUUCGGUCGCGGCGCUCCUUUUGGUGCACGAAGGCUCGGGAGUAACACAGAAACCACCACCUAAGCGUGAGGCGGUGACCGGGGAGAGCUGAGGAGUGCUCCUGGGCCCUAGAGGUAGAGGAAAGAGAGACUCUCCGCGGCUAAGGAGCCUCCCCAAGGUUCUCGUCGUCCUGGUUUGACUGCUACUACUUAUUUCACCUUUUGUCAACUACAAGCAGCAUGAACCGAACAAUGAAGAAUGAUGCAAAUGUAAUGAUCCUAUUGAUUGAACUGGAGAUUCAUUCCUGGAGAGAGACUGAAUGUGCCUACUGAAACAGAAGCUACAUAGGUUGUCCUGACUCUCUGCCCUCAGGUACAGAUGUGUUGCAGUGGUCUAAGACAGCACUGAAAACCUCAAAGUGAUUUAUUUCAGUGAGAAGCCUUUAAAGAAUUACAUCACUGCCAAAUUUCACAGCCUGUAGUCUGCUUUACAAGCUGUUUACAAAUCCACUUUUUCUGGUUGGGGAAAUCCUUUGCUGCAGGACUCUGGAAAAUAGGUGGGUGUACCGGGGAAUUGCCACCAUAUGUUCUACCUUUUGAUCUCUCUUCAGCCACUGUCAAGGACAGGCUAUGGAUUGAAUGAACCUGAUCCCAUACAGUUGGGAUGUUUUUCAACACUCACAUGGCUGUAUCACAUACAGGUUGGGUACAUGUAAAGGAAGAAGUCACUGACAGAAACUAUGAGUGUAUCUGAGCAGCUCUAGAUGAGGUGCUCAUGUAAAACCAGUCAAAUCACACCUAACACCUUUGAUUUUGAAGAUUCUUCUUUCAAGUACUUUUAAAAUAGAGCUAAAAUUCUAAGAAAAGGAUUUUUUUUUGUUUAGUUGUUUUUUUUAAUGCUCUACUGGAUAGUCUUAAAAAAAUCUGGGGUUGUCUCUGUAGCAGAUGAGAACACAACAAACAAUAUAAAGAACAGUGUAAAUGUGUAUGACUUGGAAGAAAUAUAUCCAUGACAAAGUUACAGCUUUAUAUCUCUUUAAAGAGCUGUGUAAGAGGUGAAGUUCUUUUUAAGAAUCAUUCUUUCAUUUUUUUU